UCAGUAACACGUAGUCAACAUGCCCAAAGGACGUGGAUAACCUCGGGAAACUGAGGAUAAACCGCGAUAGGCCAAGGUUUCUGGAAUGAGCCAUGGCCGAAAUCUAUAUGGCCUUUGGAUUGGACUGCGGCCGAUCAGGCUGUUGGUGAGGUAAUGGCCCACCAAACCUGUAACCGGUACGGGCUUUGAGAGAAGGAGCCCGGAGAUGGGCACUGAGACAAGGGCCCAGGCCCUAUGGGGCGCAGCAGGCGCGAAACUCUGCAAUAGGCGAAAGCUUGACAGGGUUACUCUGAGUGAUGCCCGUAAGGGUAUCUUUUGGCACCUCUAAAAAUGGUGCAGAAUAAGGGGUGGGCAAGUCUGGUGCCAGCC
rnacentral:rRNA from 1 species